UGGCAUGAGGGAGUAACCUCCCUGAUCUCCCUGGUUCCUCUAGCAUCACAAGGCAGAAGCAGCAGCAUCUCUUCCAUCUGCUGUAGUGAGGGAAUAAAAGAAAUAUUUAUUGAGCACCGGUGAUGUUCCAGGCGUGGUUUUUGGUGCUAGCAGGAGAGAAAACAACACCUGUGGCCUAAAGAGCUCAACCUGACCUGAAGAACUCAAGGGAAUCUUGAACUUGAGUGAGGCAGAAAAUGCAUUUUCCUUUUCACUAAACUUGCAAAAAUAUAGCAUUUUCUUCAAUUAUGAAUUUAGGCAACAAACCACACUAGUAUUAGCAGUGCCUGUGGCUUUGUUAUUAAUAAAAAUAAGUCUUUUCAUAUCA